rnacentral:misc_RNA from 1 species
UGGAAGCGGAACCUGCGUGGUUCGAUUAAAAUUUAAGCGGAUCUACCGGUUCGAGAAGUUCGUCCGGAUGUUUGCGAGACUGGCGCUAGCGGAGGGCGCUUCGUCGGCGGCCCGUGGAAACGCAGCCACGGCUUCGAUUCAGCGAAACUACGCGAGGAGUCCACCCUCUCUUUGCACGUGGCGCGUCCGCUAUCUUGCUCGUCGCCCCCGCAGAAAAACGUUUCCGCUUUAUUAAAACGGAAAACCAGGGGACGCGCGACACCGGCGAAAAACGAUCGCCUUUGGGAUCGCUUCCCUCGCCACUGGGAUUCUUCCACUCACGUUUUUCAGCGUCUCGUCUCUUGCGGUUUUCCAGGGCUAAUUUUAGCGAGCAAAUGCUUUGGAUAGUCGUUUUUUUAACGAAUUAGACGAGCUUAGAAUGUGACAUGUGAAGAUAUGUCCUGUAUGUCGCGCGUAAUAUAUUUUUUCUGUUUGUAGCAAUGUGAUAAUAAAAGCUGAG